GACGAACGCUGGCGGCGUGCUUAACACAUGCAAGUCGAACGGAAAGGCUCCAGCUUGCUGGAGUACUCGAGUGGCGAACGGGUGAGUAACACGUGGGUAAUCUGCCCUGCACUCUGGGAUAAGCCUGGGAAACUGAGUCUAAUACUGGAUAUGACCUUUCUCCUUAUGGGGUUUGGUGGAAAGUUUUUCGGUGUAGGAUGAGCCCGCGGCCUAUCAGCUUGUUGGUGGGGUGAUGGCCUACCAAGGCGACGACGGGUAGCCGGCCUGAGAGGGUGAUCGGCCACAUUGGGACUGAGAUACGGCCCAGACUCCUACGGGAGGCAGCAGUGGGGAAUAUUGCACAAUGGGCGGAAGCCUGAUGCAGCGACGCCGCGUGAGGGAUGACGGCCUUCGGGUUGUAAACCUCUUUCAGCAGGAACGAAGCGUAAGUGACGGUACCUGCAGAAGAAGCACCGGCUAACUAU
rnacentral:rRNA from 1 species